GGUGAGGAGGGGAUACGUUCCCUGGCCCGAUUUAACCUCAUGCAUGAUCGCUGGCUACGACAUGACCGGCUUGGCUCUCUCCUGGUUCUUCUACUUCCUCACCAAAAGCUCAUUUGUUGUGACCAAGAUCAUUUUCCUCUUUUAUGAGAGGUUGAUCUGUUUAUCUUGCAUGAUUACAUUGAAGCGGCACUAAAAAGAUCACCCUUAAAGCUAUUGCAUUUGUUUAGUUUUUUCAUGGGUCUAGGUUUAAUUUGGAUCUAGAGUAUUUAUAAUUAAAUAUAUACAUUGAUGCCUACUCCUUAGGUAAUAUAUCUGGAAGGUUUAAACAGGAAUAUUGCAAAUAAACUAUAUUACAUAGAUAAUUUCAAAGAACAAUUCUCUAGGUUUCAGUGCAUAAUUUCUUAUGCGAAUGAUUUUUUUUGCCUCAUAGAUGACGAUGGUGGGACUUGAUAUAUGCAUCGACAUAAUAAAAUAGGAAUCACUGUAGAAAGCACAAAUAAAAAUAGCUGAUGAAAUAGAUUGAUUUCCAGGAUAAGUGCACACAUAUUACCAAAUCCAGAUCAAAUCAAGAUACUUGAUCAAGUUAAGUGUUCUCUAGCUACAGAGCUGUAAUAUUAAUUAGUAGAUUAGUUGAGAAUAAUCUCUUUCAACUGUGUUCUCCGUUGUCUGUUUGAUCUAGCUUGAUGGUUGGUUUUGCAUAUGUACAUAUCUUAGAUUUGCAAGCAGCUUAGUAUUAUGGGAAGUAGUGAAUAUGUGAGUUGAUGGAUCGACAGGUGUUCAAAAUUUUGCUACAACAUCCAGGGUUAUCAAGAGGCUUGAGGCAACCUUCUGGCUGUAGCACACAGGACACUAGCAAUUGCUACAAGGAAGCCUUCCAGCUGCAGACUUAGCGGUCAGCUUGAAGAUAAAACCGUCCAACCACUUCAUGAUAUUGAUUACUUCGACUUUCAGUAUUGAGUUCUUUCUUGGUUGGGAUUGACACCCAGCAGCAGCAAGAAAGUUUCGAUGGGACAAUAUUCUCAAUAAGGGCGGUUGCGGAUUAUCUGAACAUGAAUCGGUGGCGACAGAAGACUUACAUUACCUUUUCGAUAUUGGCACUGUAGCUUCUUUCAAUUCCUUUGGGCAAAGCUUGCUCCAGUUCUAGACCGCCCCAUGCAAAGCAAACUCAUCAUCAUCAUUUUAUCUGCCAAUGAAUAUAACAAUGCCAACCACUGACAGUUUGAAGACGUGGGAACACUGAGACCACCCGCCUUAGCAUGCUAAAAAUUUGUAUUUGUGCCAAUUAGUUGAAAUAUACGGUUCAUGUGGUACUUCUUAGGCAAGUCUAUCUUAUCAGCUGUGCAAUGAGAAAGAAUGUAUGUAUGUAUGUAUGUUAGUGUCUCUAGCCAAUGCUCCCUACGAUGGAUCUAUCUUACCAACUAUGUACUAAACUAGGAGUAUAUAUAUUGGUAAAAAGUUCUAGAUUA